AUUGAACGCUGGCGGCAUGCUUUACACAUGCAAGUCGAACGGCAGCGCGGGCUUCGGCCUGGCGGCGAGUGGCGAACGGGUGAGUAAUGCAUCGGAACGUGCCCAGUUGUGGGGGAUAGCCCGGCGAAAGCCGGAUUAAUACCGCAUACGACCUGAGGGUGAAAGCGGGGGACCGAAAGGCCUCGCGCUAUUGGAGCGGCCGAUGUCGGAUUAGCUAGUUGGUGGGGUAAAGGCUUACCAAGGCGACGAUCCGUAGCUGGUCUGAGAGGACGACCAGCCACACUGGGACUGAGACACGGCCCAGACUCCUACGGGAGGCAGCAGUGGGGAAUUUUGGACAAGGGGGGCAACCCUGAUCCAGCCAUGCCGCGUGCGGGAAGAAGGCCUUCGGGUUGUAAACCGCUUUUGUUCGGGAAGAAAGCCUCUGGGCUAAUACCCCGGGGGGAGGAGGGUACCGGAAGAAUAGGCACGGGCGAACUACGU
rnacentral:rRNA from 1 species